rnacentral:rRNA from 1 species
GACGAACGCUGACGGUGUGCUUUAGACAUGCAAGUCGAACGAGAAAGCCCUUCGGGGUGAGUAAAGUGGCGAACGGGUGCGUAACACGUGGGUAACCUGCCCCUCGCAGGGGGACAACCGGGGGAAACUCCGGCUAAUACCCCGUACGCUCCGAAUUCCGCAUGGUAUUCGGAGGAAAGGUAGCUUCGGCCAUCCGGCGAGGGAUGGGCCCGCGGUACAUUAGCUAGUUGGUGGGGUAACGGCCUACCAAGGCGACGAUGUAUAGCUGGUCUGAGAGGAUGAUCAGCCACACUGGGACUGAGACACGGCCCAGACUCCUACGGGAGGCAGCAGUCGGGAAUCUUGCGCAAUGGGCGAAAGCCUGACGCAGCAACACCGUGUGAGCGAGGAAGGCCUUCGGGUCGUAAAGCUCUGUUGUUGGGGACGAAGGGCGAAGGGUUAAUAGCCCCCAGCCUGACGGUACCCUUCGAGGAAGCCCCGGCUAACUACGUGCCAGCCGCCGCCGUAACAC